rnacentral:rRNA from 1 species
UGGGGAAUAUUGCACAAUGGGCGCAAGCCUGAUGCAGCCAUGCCGCGUGUAUGAAGAAGGCCUUCGGGUUGUAAAGUACUUUCAGUCGGGAGGAAGGUGUCAAGGUUAAUAACCUUGGCAAUUGACGUUACCGACAGAAGAAGCACCGGCUAACUCCGUGCCAGCAGCCGCGGUAAUACGGAGGGUGCAAGCGUUAAUCGGAAUUACUGGGCGUAAAGCGCACGCAGGCGGUUGAUUGAGUCAGAUGUGAAAUCCCCGGGCUUAACCCGGGAAUUGCAUCUGAUACUGGUCAGCUAGAGUCUUGUAGAGGGGGGUAGAAUUCCAUGUGUAGCGGUGAAAUGCGUAGAGAUGUGGAGGAAUACCGGUGGCGAAGGCGGCCCCCUGGACAAAGACUGGCGCUCAGGUGCGAAAGCGUGGGGAGCAAACAGG